rnacentral:tRNA from 1 species
CAGAAUAUAGUUUAAUUAAAAUUUCAGCUUUGGGGGUUGAAGAUAAGAGUUUAAUCCUCUUUUUUCUGA